CAAGUCGAACGAACUCUGGUAUUGAUUGGUGCUUGCAUCAUGAUUUACAUUUGAGUGAGUGGCGAACUGGUGAGUAACACGUGGGAAACCUGCCCAGAAGCGGGGGAUAACACCUGGAAACAGAUGCUAAUACCGCAUAACAACUUGGACCGCAUGGUCCGAGUUUGAAAGAUGGCUUCGGCUAUCACUUUUGGAUGGUCCCGCGGCGUAUUAGCUAGAUGGUGGGGUAACGGCUCACCAUGGCAAUGAUACGUAGCCGACCUGAGAGGGUAAUCGGCCACAUUGGGACUGAGACACGGCCCAAACUCCUACGGGAGGCAGCAGUAGGGAAUCUUCCACAAUGGACGAAAGUCUGAUGGAGCAACGCCGCGUGAGUGAAGAAGGGUUUCGGCUCGUAAAACUCUGUUGUUAAAGAAGAACAUAUCUGAGAGUAACUGUUCAGGUAUUGACGGUAUUUAACCAGAAAGCCACGGCUAACUACGUGCCAGCAGCCGCGGUAAUACGUAGGUGGCAAGCGUUGUCCGGAUUUAUUGGGCGUAAAGCGAGCGCAGGCGGUUUUUUAAGUCUGAUGUGAAAGCCUUCGGCUCAACCGAAGAAGUGCAUCGGAAACUGGGAAACUUGAGUGCAGAAGAGGACAGUGGAACUCCAUGUGUAGCGGUGAAAUGCGUAGAUAUAUGGAAGAACACCAGUGGCGAAGGCGGCUGUCUGGUCUGUAACUGACGCUGAGGCUCGAAAGUAUGGGUAGCAAACAGGAUUAGAUACCCUGGUAGUCCAUACCGUAAACGAUGAAUGCUAAGUGUUGGAGGGUUUCCGCCCUUCAGUGCUGCAGCUAACGCAUUAAGCAUUCCGCCUGGGGAGUACGGCCGCAAGGCUGAAACUCAAAGGAAUUGACGGGGGCCCGCACAAGCGGUGGAGCAUGUGGUUUAAUUCGAAGCUACGCGAAGAACCUUACCAGGUCUUGACAUACUAUGCAAAUCUAAGAGAUUAGACGUUCCCUUCGGGGACAUGGAUACAGGUGGUGCAUGGUUGUCGUCAGCUCGUGUCGUGAGAUGUUGGGUUAAGUCCCGCAACGAGCGCAACCCUUAUUAUCAGUUGCCAGCAUUAAGUUGGGCACUCUGGUGAGACUGCCGGUGACAAACCGGAGGAAGGUGGGGAUGACGUCAAAUCAUCAUGCCCCUUAUGACCUGGGCUACACACGUGCUACAAUGGAUGGUACAACGAGUUGCGAACUCGCGAGAGUAAGCUAAUCUCUUAAAGCCAUUCUCAGUUCGGAUUGUAGGCUGCAACUCGCCUACAUGAAGUCGGAAUCGCUAGUAAUCGCGGAUCAGCAGCCUCC
rnacentral:rRNA from 1 species